ensembl:lncRNA
CUCAGCUGUGAGAUGUAGGACAGACACUGAAGGAAACUCCUCACUUCACUCUCUUCAUCUGACCAGCCCUUCAGCUCUAAUGGUUUCUUCUCUGGUUGGAGUUUCAGCACUUCUAGGAGGAGGGAGGCCUUUCUCUCUGAGAGGUCUAUGGACCAGACUGCAGGAGCUGACUGGUAAACUGGCAGUAAUGCUGGAAAGACACUCCUGCCUGUUUGAGUCUCAGAGUCCUUCACAUGUGAGUACAGAUCCAACAGGAAAUCACAUUGAUAUACCUCAACAUCAUGAUCCCAUUCACAGAAGGGAAAGGUGCUGUAAGUACACACUGAUGAUACCAGCUUCAGUGUCUUCUCUCCUGUCUGCUCCUCCCACUCUGCUGCUUGAGACAGGAGAUCCACCAGGAACUUGAUCUGCUUUGAGGGAUCAGACCUCCAUGGAUGGAAAC